rnacentral:SRP_RNA from 1 species
GCCAGGCAUGGUGGUGCGUGUCUGUAAUCCCAGCUACUCAGGAGGCUGAGGCGGGAGAAUCACUUGAACCCAGGAGGCAGAGGGUGCAGUGAGCCCAAAUUGCACCACUGCACUCCAGCCUAGGCAACAGAGUGAGACUCCGCCUCAA